GAUGAACGCUGGCGGCGUGCCUAAUACAUGCAAGUCGAACGAAACUUCUUUAUCACCGAGUGCUUGCACUCACCGAUAAAGAGUUGAGUGGCGAACGGGUGAGUAACACGUGGGCAACCUGCCCAAAAGAGGGGGAUAACACUUGGAAACAGGUGCUAAUACCGCAUAACCAUAGUUACCGCAUGGUACUAUGUAAAAGGUGGCUAUACUACCGCUUUUGGAUGGGCCCGCGGCGCAUUAGCUAGUUGGUAGGGUAAAGGCUUACCAAGGCAAUGAUGCGUAGCCGAAUUGAUAGGUUGAUCGGCCACAUUGGGACUGAGACACGGCCCAAACUCCUACGGGAGGCAGCAGUAGGGAAUCUUCCACAAUGGGCGAAAGCCUGAUGGAGCAACGCCGCGUGGGUGAAGAAGGUCUUCGGAUCGUAAAACCCUGUUGUUAGAGAAGAAAGUGCGUGAGAGUAACUGUUCACGUUUCGACGGUAUCUAACCGGAAAGCCACGGCUAACUACGUG
rnacentral:rRNA from 1 species